rnacentral:rRNA from 1 species
UACGUAGGAUGCAAGCGUUGUCCGGAAUUAUUGGGCGUAAAGCGAACGUAGGCCGUUUCUUAAGUUUGGUCUUAAAGACCGGGGCUCAACCCCGGGAAUGGAUCGAAAACUGGGAGACUAGAGGAUGUCAGAGGAAAGUGGAAUUCCGAGUGUAGCGGUGAAAUGCGUAGAUAUUCGGAGGAACACCAGUGGCGAAAGCGACUUUCUGGGGCAUUUCUGACGCUGAGGUUCGAAAGCUCGGGGAGCAAACAGG